UACAGAGGGUGCGAGCGUUAAUCGGAAUUACUGGGCGUAAAGCGCGCGUAGGCGGCUUUGCAAGUCGGGUGUGAAAUCCCCAGGCUUAACCUGGGAACCGCAUUCGAGACUGCAUUGCUAGAGUAUGGGAGAGGGAUGCGGAAUUCCAGGUGUAGCGGUGAAAUGCGUAGAUAUCUGGAGGAACACCGGUGGCGAAGGCGGCAUCCUGGACCAACACUGACGCUGAGGAGCGAAAGCCAGGGGAGCAAACGGG
rnacentral:rRNA from 1 species